GGAGAUUGCUUCUCCGAAAGCAACCUGUUUUGAUCACUAGUGGGGCUGCCUCUCACGGUCACAGGUUUAAACAUUAAGUCAGAUUUGAGGGCAAAUCCUUUUGAAGGAGGAGGGGAUGAUGUGACCUUGUUCAGCAACAAGCCAAUAUCGUAUAAUAUAUCAAUCUGACGGCAAUUCAGAGACCGUCGAUCAUGCAAAAGGAUGCGAC
rnacentral:lncRNA from 1 species